AGGCGGGGCAAGUGGAGACGGCCACCGCAGGGUUGGCGGACUUGAGAAGGAGCAAAGAUGGCGGAGUGAGGCACGUCGCAGCUCGCUGGCCUUUGGGCCGGGGGGCGGGCGGCCCCCGGGCGCUCGAGUGCUUCUUCUGGCCAGUGCGAGGUAUUUCUGUGUUGUCUCCUGAGUGAGGUUGUCUUGCUCCAAUUAU
rnacentral:lncRNA from 1 species